rnacentral:rRNA from 1 species
ACGAACGCUGGCGGCGUGCUUAACACAUGCAAGUCGAACGGAUCAAAUAUUGAGCUUGCUUAAUAUUUGGUUAGUGGCGGACGGGUGAGUAACACGUGGAUAAUCUACCUCUGACACAGGGAUAACACUGUGAAAACGGUGCUAAUACCAGAUACGUUCAUCAGAGCACAUGCUAAGAUGAAGAAAGGAGAAAUCCGGUCAAAGAUGAGUCCGCGGCUGAUUAGCUAGUUGGUGAGGUAACAGCCCACCAAGGCAACGAUCAGUAGCCGGCCUGAGAGGGUGAACGGCCACACUGGGACUGAGACACGGCCCAGACUCCUACGGGAGGCAGCAGUGGGGAAUCUUCCGCAAUGGACGAAAGUCUGACGGAGCAACGCCGCGUGGGUGAAGAAGGCCUUCGGGUUGUAAAACCCUGUCUUCAGGGAAGAAAAAAAUGACGGUACCUGAGGAGGAAGCCACGGCUAACUACGU